rnacentral:rRNA from 1 species
UACGGAGGGUGCGAGCGUUAUCCGGGAUUACUGGGUUUAAAGGGCGCGUAGGCGGCUGUGUAAGUCAGGAGUGAAAGUUUGCGGCUCAACCGUAAAAUUGCUUUUGAUACUGCACGGCUGGAAUCAGGAUGAGGUCAGCGGAAUGUGGCAUGUAGCGGUGAAAUGCAUAGAUAUGCCAUAGAACACCAAUUGCGAAGGCAGCUGGCUAGACCUGUAUUGACGCUGAGGCACGAAAGCGUGGGGAGCGAACAGG